CCCAAAAGUAGACCAUCAAUGCCUUCGUCCUGAGCCGUUCCCCUUCCACUUUCCCUUCCUCCUUUAAUUCCCAUCCAGUCCAGCCUCCCCGCUCCGUCUUCUUGGUUCGCCUGCCACCAGUGCGAGACUCCUCCCACGGUCGCGAGUCCUGGCCAAAUCGGCCUCCGCUUCUUAUCCCUUCCGCCGUCCACCGCUCGGCUCCUUGCGCUUGCUACUACUCAGGCGAUUCGAGAGGGAGACACGAGAGGAAUUGGGCAUGUGGAGGCUGUGUGGGAGAGAGAAGGCAAGGGAUCAUGGCGGUGAUUGUGUCGACAGGAGAUGAGAGGGGAGCUUGAUGCGUUCAUCUCAAGGUCAAAAGACGGCUUCUCCAGGGUCAAGUUGUGGCGACGGCUGUGUCGACGCGCGCGCGAGAGAGAAGCAUGAUGCGGCCUUCUUCACACUAUUGCUUCCAGUUUGUUCGUUCUUGCAGAUCUGCGGAUAUCAUAACUCUGGCUGUUGUUGACGGACAUUAGAUUCCGAACAGUGAGAAGCCCACCUGUAUCCUCGAGGCUCAAAUUUUAUUUUAUUUGUUUAUCGCAUGCUAUGCCACAUUGCUUCUUGUGAGUUCCAACCUGAGGCAUUCUGAAUUUUUAUUUUCUGCUGCCAGAGAACAAGGACCUGUUUGUCAAACCCUUGAGCAAAGAACGAAAGCUAUUUCCAUUUCAUACUCAUACGAUACUUGGGAAAACGGAUAUGGAUGGUAAACUGGUGUUGAUACAAUAUAUAGGUGCCAUAAUGUAAACAUGUAGUUAGAAUUUAUUUUCAUAUGUUGGUGGUUCAGAUUACUUCUCUUCUACCAUGGCAUAUUCAAUACUGGUAAAUUGUACGCAUCAAUAGGUGCAAAACUCACACAACUCAGUUUCAGUGAUAGGGCUUACGUUUGAGUGCCCUAAUCAUAAAAAAAUGACGGUACAUAUCCCAUUUUCUUAGAUUAUCUGAUUCACCCUCAUACAAAUUUUUAAUGCUGCAUAGUGGAUUUUUUCUAUUGUUAUGGCAAAAACACGAGGGCCAAUUAGUAUGUUUACACAUCAAGCCGUCAUUGUUUGAUUCAGUAUGAUGUGCAGCUUAUAGGUCAUGAAGAAGAUGCUAAAAAGGAGAUUAUAUAUGAUUACUUCCCUCACACUCAACAAUGUGAAGAUUUUAUCUGCAAGUUACUUAACCAUUGAGGAAGGCGGUGCUAUCAUCCACUAGAUGGAACUUCUGUUCUUCCCUCUGAAGGAUCACAUUUGCAAAGAUCUUACUAUCCCGUAUUGCUGAAUAUGAACGUCUCAUGAAAUUACUUUGUAAUAAUUUGUUAGUUUCGUGGGUAAUAUUAAAUCUAAUCUGGUUGUUCGUCUACCAUCCAGAAGUUGAAUGAUAUAACUAGGAGUAUCGGCCUUACUUAUGUGCCAUUACAAUGAUGUAAUCUAAACGAUCUUAUAUUUCUUUACAGAGAGAGUAUUAUUCUAAAGUGUUGUUGCCAAA